CUAUCACUUAUAAAUUUAAACUACAUAUUAAUAUAAUUAACUUGUCAUAAAUGUACUACGGAACCCAAUAUUAAUUGUUUACGCAAAGGUCCGCGCAUCUAUUGCGCCUGCGCAUCGCUAAACAAGUUAAAAACCGGUCGCGCCGCUCGCCACUCUUCGGCUCCGCUCGGGCACAUUCGUUAAAUGCAAACGGCAGACGACUUAAGUGCAUCAGACGUGACGGCUGUGUCACACGCUCUCAGAUACCGUAACAUCGUGCCUAAUUAAUACGUGGUUGUUCUAAAAAACAAAUCCGAAUCGGAAAUCCCGCUGGGGAUUUUAUGUUCCACCUUGGACCCUCGCUUCGCAACCUAUUCUACCUUGCGGCGAGUGGAAGACCGACCGGAUCCUGUCUGGACUACCGGAAGCGUACCUGGGAAGGAGCAAGGCCGCCGCCAGAGCUACCCACGGUUCAGGCCAGUGUUCCCAGUUUACUUCUACGACCUCCUGAUCUGGGUGUGAUUGGGGCAACGGAAGUUGGCCGAAAUAAAGACAAAUUUCCUCAAAAAAAAGAUUUGCUUUAUUUGGACCUACCUACCUACCUACCUGCCGGCAAGCCUACUACCAGGCAAGUGCCGCACAAU